UGGCCCGUUGGUCAAGUGGUUAAGACACCGCCCUUUCACGGCGGUAACACGGGUUCGAAUCCCGUACGGGUCACCAC
rnacentral:tRNA from 19 species